GACGAACGCUGGCGGCGUGCCUAAUACAUGCAAGUCGAGCGGACAGAAGGGAGCUUGCUCCCGGAAGUUAGCGGCGGACGGGUGAGUAACACGUGGGCAACCUACCCUGUAGAUCGGGAUAACAUCGAGAAAUCGGUGCUAAUACCGGAUAAUCAUUUGAAGUGCAUGCUUCGAAUGUAAAAGAUGGCUCCGGCUAUCACUACGGGAUGGGCCCGCGGCGCAUUAGCUGGUUGGUAAGGUAAUGGCUUACCAAGGCAACGAUGCGUAGCCGACCUGAGAGGGUGAUCGGCCACACUGGGACUGAGACACGGCCCAGACUCCUACGGGAGGCAGCAGUAGGGAAUCUUCCGCAAUGGACGAAAGUCUGACGGAGCAACGCCGCGUGAGUGAUGAAGGUUUUCGGAUCGUAAAGCUCUGUUAUUAGGGAAGAACAAGUGCCGUUUGAAUAAGGCGGCACCUUGACGGUACCUAACCAGAAAGCCACGGCUAACUACGUGCCAGCCGCCGCCGUAAGAC
rnacentral:rRNA from 1 species